rnacentral:rRNA from 1 species
CUACGGGGGAUGCAAGCGUUAUUCGGAAUCACUGGGCGUAAAGGACGCGUAGGCGGGUUGGCAAGUCAGAUGUGAAAUCCUACAGCUUAACUGUAGAACUGCAUUUGAAACUGCUAACCUAGAGUAUGGGAGGGGGAGAUGGAAUUAGUGGUGUAGGGGUAAAAUCCGUAGAUAUCACUAGGAAUACCGAAAGCGAAGGCGAUCUCCUGGAACAUAACUGACGCUAAGGCGUGAAAGCGUGGGGAGCAAACAGGAUUAGAAACCCUAGUAGUCC